rnacentral:rRNA from 1 species
AACGAACGCUGGCGGCAGGCCUAACACAUGCAAGUCGAACGCCCUGGCAACAGGGAGUGGCAGACGGGUGAGUAACGCGUGGGAACGUGCCCUUCGGUUCGGAAUAACUCAGGGAAACUUGAGCUAAUACCGGAUACGUGCGGGAGCAGAAAGAUUUAUCGCCGAAGGAUCGGCCCGCGGCCGAUUAGCUAGUUGGUGAGGUAACGGCUCACCAAGGCGACGAUCGGUAGCUGGUCUGAGAGGAUGAUCAGCCACACUGGGACUGAGACACGGCCCAGACUCCUACGGGAGGCAGCAGUGGGGAAUAUUGGACAAUGGGCGCAAGCCUGAUCCAGCCAUGCCGCGUGAGUGAUGAAGGCCCUAGGGUUGUAAAGCUCUUUCGCCAGGGACGAUAAUGACGGUACCUGGAUAAGAAGCCCCGGCUAACUUCGUGCCAGCAGCAGCGGUAA